AAGGGAAAGGGUCUAGAGGUAGCUGCUAACUAACCUCUAAAGCGGUUCAACUCCGUUUUUCUCUUG
rnacentral:tRNA from 1 species